UGACCCGGCGAUGUCCGAAUGGGGAAACC
rnacentral:sRNA from 1 species